rnacentral:rRNA from 1 species
GCUGGCGGCAGGCCUAACACAUGCAAGUCGAACGGAGUUAUAUUGUAGCUUGCUAUGGUAUAACUUAGUGGCAGACGGGUGAGUAAUGUAUAGGAAUCUACCUAGUAGUACGGAAUAAUUGUUGGAAACGGCAACUAAUACCGUAUACGCCCUACGGGGGAAAAAUUUAUUGCUAUUAGAUGAGCCUAUAUUAGAUUAGCUAGUUGGUGGAGUAAUAGCCUACCAAGGCAAUGAUCUAUAGCUGAUCUGAGAGGAUGAUCAGCCACACUGGAACUGAGAUACGGUCCAGACUCCUACGGGAGGCAGCAGUGGGGAAUAUUGGACAAUGGGCGAAAGCCUGAUCCAGCCAUGCCGCAUGAGUGAAGAAGGCCUUUGGGUUGUAAAGCUCUUUUAGUGAGGAAGAUAAUGACGGUACUCACAGAAGAAGUCCUGGCUAACUCCGUGCCAGCAGCCGCGGUAAUACGGAGAGGGCUAGCGUUAUUCGGAAUUAUUGGGCGUAAAGGGCGCGUAGGCGGAUUAGUAAGUUAAAAGUGAAAUCCCAAGGCUCAACCUUGGAAUUGCUUUUAAAACUGCUAAUCUAGAGAUUGAAAGAGGAUAGAGGAAUUCCUAGUGUAGAGGUGAAAUUCGUAAAUAUUAGGAGGAACACCAGUGGCGAAGGCGUCUAUCUGGUUCAAAUCUGACGCUGAGGCGCGAAGGCGUGGGGAGCAAACAGGAUUAGAUACCCUGGUAGUCCACCCUGUAAACGAUGAAUGUUAAAUAUGGGAAGUUUUACUUUCUGUAUUACAGCUAACGCGU